UGCUGCUGCGACAUACACAGCUCUCCUUGCUGGCUCCUGGUGGUCUAUGAAAGGCCCUGUUAGGUGAAGCCUCGCACCAGGAGCCCUGUAACUCUACCCCUUAUUUCUGCAGUAGUGUGGACUCAGAACGUCUUGUAAAUCUACUUUGCAAUAUUUCUCAAGUGCGAACAAAGGGGUCAAAGCAGUCCCUUAAACCAACCAACCAACCCAGACUAUAAACACGAUGGGCUGCUAUCGCUGAAGAGAAACCAGCAGCCCGUCAAGGUCGGUGUAGAGGCCAGUCGCGAGCAGGGCUGACCGGCAUUACCUGCGUGUGGCCGCAGCCAGUGCGGCUUUCCCGAGCCAGCUUGCUUUCCAGAAGGUUCCCUGGUUUCAGCCCCCACUACCUCACUGGAUCUCAGCCACGACAGCAGAGGCUGUUCCGGAGCCCAGCACCAAUCACCGACCUGUACUUGGGGCAAUCACAGGCCUGCAGCUGCUAUAUAAGCAGCGCUCCACCGUAUACUGACCUCCGUGUGCUCCAGCACAGGCUCUGUAAAACUUGCACAGGAAAAAUAUACAUUUAUUCAUCUGUUCCAAAGGACACAGCCAAACAUCUUUGAGAAUAAGUGUUUUUCGUGAAGAUCUGUGAUGCAGCAUCGCCUCAGGCAACUACAGGAAACGAGAAUUAACCCAAAUUUGUUUCCAUGGACACCACUUAGACCUCCUCAGAUGAAAGCAAGCAGAGCUGCCUGUGGAAAGAAUUAGUGUGCUUUAGAAACAAGAGCCAGAAGCAACAAACAAGUCUGAGGCAUCUCUUUGAAAUUAAUCAAAUGAGAAUGCCAGAGAAAAUGAAAUUGGAGUGGUUUGGACAUAUCAUGUGUUUGUGACAAACUCCGCAACAUUCAGGAUAAUGGGGGGGGGAGUCACAUGGAUAUCAAUGGUGCCACAUGGUUUUCCAUUGGACGAGAAUUGUUGCUUGAGUUGGAAACAGGCUAAGGUGAGCAUUCUGGUGUCACACUUGUGACUAGGUUAGGACAAUAGCAGAAAGACCAGUUUUAUGCAAAUACAAGAUGAGUCUCGAAAGUUAUGAGUUAUCCCAAGGGGGCUUGUUUGACAAAAGGGAAACUUUGCAACCUGUGAGGGAAGUUGGAAGAGGAAAGGAAAGGAAAGAAAACAUUGGGCCCUGACUAGAAUUACCCCUUUCACCCUUCAGGGCUGUCCAGAUGGUGUGUUUUUUAGUAAGAAAACUACAACUCAGAAUCUACUUCAAUUCCAACAAGAAAGUGAGGCCCAGGACUAAAACUUAGCAAGGCUGAGGUCUAGUAAAGUGGUUCCUAAGAGAAAUGCCUGAGAAAUUUGAUCCUUUCUUCUUCUUUUUUUUUUUUUUCUUUUUUCUUUCCUUUGGAGGCUUGGGAAUAGGAAGAAGCAGAAAUAACCAUUUAGAAGUAUGUGAGAUUUAUGAUGCGAAGACCUAGCAUUUCUCUAGGGUUUCAAAUGAAGUGUUUAGUAUUCUGUGAUGGCGGUAAUUGGCGGUCAGGAUGAUUAUAACUAUUUGUUAGGAUUUCUGGGGACAACAUAAAGCAUCAGAUUCAUGGGUUUUGCAGAGAGCCAUUGCCAAGGAAUUGUUUUUCAUCUUGUGCUUUUGUAGGACUUAAAACUGCAGCAAUCCUCAGGCAUCCCUGUAAAAUUUGUGGUCAGAAAUACUAUUUAUAUGUUCAGAAACAAAGACACACAUUGUUGAGUGAGAGAUCCAGUGACAUCCAGGGUAUCAUUGUCUCCUGACUCCUUGUUCUGUCAGAGUCACCA